UGUGAGAUUUGGACUGAGAUUGAGACUGAGAGGUGCUAUUUGCUCAUUUAUAGACCCUUCUUUUUACUAUGAGAUUUCUUCAACUUAUUUUUGCUCCCGAACUGAGGUAUGUUUCUUGAGAGGUGGAAAAUCAGAAGCUGUGUAUGAACCGUACUGGUUGAGGAGCAUAUGGAGAUGAAGAGAAUAGGAGCUUAUGCCGGCUGGGUUGUGGUAUUUUUAUAAUAUGGAGAUCAGGUUGGUCUAAAGGUGAAGAGCUUCAAGGCCUUGUCAGUUUGCAAGGCGCUGGUUGUUGAUGUGAGCUUAUUUGGAGCCUCCAGAUUAUCCUGGGCAUCAUCAAAAGGAUGGCAGCAAUGGCCCAGACUCUGGAUGUCCAGGAGUUUCUUACACCACAGCAUUAGUGUUCGUGGAGUCCAUUGUUGUUGCAGGUUGCAAACCAUCGGUUGGAGAUCUGCUCUGAGGCAUACCAAUAUAUUUUCCAGUGGGUAUAUAUAAAUUUUGUUGUGCUAAACAAUUACCAUAGUGUCAAUGCUCGUUUAGUUAAGUUGUACAUGUCUUUCGAGGUUUGCGUGUUAUGUUGAAUAUGUUCAUUUCAAUAUAUUUCAUUUAGUUGUGGGAUAAUUACACAUACAUUAAGUUGUACAUGUUUUAGUGUGGCUUCUAAAAUGAAAAAUUAUCAAUCCUUCUCCAUUCAUGUAGUCUUGCAGUCCUACAACCUAAAAUAUGAUGUUAUGAUCUGUGCUUGACUCACACGUAAACAUUCAGAAAUUUUUGUGUAUUUCAGAACAUAAUUCUAUCUUAAUUAGGUUAAUAUUGGGUGCCUGUUUUGACUAGGCUUUUGGCUAUUAGGUGAAUCUGGGCUAAAAAAACAUCAUAAGUAUGUUUCUUCAUGCACUUCUCGCCAGUUAAUUUGGAUGUUGCACCCGCAUUUGAACUUAUUUCUAUACAGUAUUGUGUACUGAUACUAAU